UGAAGUGUAGCGGGAGGAUGGAGGCCUGCAGGCAGGGAAGGGGGCCCCAGGGACAAGCAGGGCCACUCCCAGGUGUCCCCUCUGUCUGUCUCCAGAUGAUGGCCCUUAUCAGUUGUGUCCAGUCUGACUAAGCCUGCCUCUGCCUGYGCCUGUGYCUGUGGCUGUUCCUUACAACCAGCGACUUAAAGAGUGAGCACCAAACGGAUGGGGCGGAUUCCAGGCACUGAUGAAGACAUCUUUUCCAGUGGGCGGGGCCACUGUGCCUACAGUUCUCUCCUACCUGAGCCCCACAUGGGUGAAGAGGCUGAGGAUCAGAACCCCUUACAACUACGUCACCAUGAUGCAAUCAUCCCCCUGGCUUAGUGGUACUCGGUGGCAAUAUUUGGGCUUUUAAAGACUGU